AUAACUUACUUUAUCAUUAGAAAUAACAGUCUCUGAACCCGCGCAGUCCUCUCGAGGGCGUUUCUUGGAGCUCGUGGGCGCGCUGGAGCUGCGACGGUCCUGGAAAUUUCCAGAAGUCUGCACCGUCAAAACACUUGCCGCGUGCUUCCUUGUGUCGCAGUGUGUGGCCUUGCGAUGAUAAAGAGCCGCUUCUUCUUGUUUCUCAGGGUCCUCGAAGUAGUACGGUCUCUUUCUGGAGCGGCCGCCCAGUAAAGCCAUCAGGGACGGCUGACUCAGACCCCCGGUCGGAGCCAUGCUUCCCAGCUGCAUGUCAACACUGCAAAGUGAGCGGUAGCAUCUUUUGGAGGGAGAGUCGUGCAGCAGAGCGUCCUCGGCGCGUCUCUUCGCCAUGAACGUCAGCUCCGUCGGUGCACUAAACCAAACCAGCGGAUGUUCUUUCCCCAUGCUGCUUCAAAUAAUUCCCAGAAAAAACACCACAGACCAGACAUGAUCUCAGUCUCUUCAAUAGUAGCUACAGCCCUGAUUGUAAUGAUCUACUUUCUGGGUUGCUACGUGACGUGCUGGUAUAAAAGACAAUUCAUUGGCUUCCUGUUCGAUCAGCCUAAGACUGUGACUGUCAUACUUGGCCUUCUGCUUAUUGCCCAGGUACCAUCCAUCCACCAAGUAAUGUACCAUGUCAGUUAUUAAGCUAUUAACACUGGUUACAAAACUGAACUUUGCCUCUAAAAUGGAACAUUUAAUUUAAAAGUUUCCAUUGGCUACAUCAUCCAAUAAAUGACAUGCAGCUGUGGUUGUCAUGCUAUAUAUGUG